rnacentral:rRNA from 1 species
UACGGAGGGUGCAAGCGUUGUUCGGAAUUACUGGGCGUAAAGCGCGUGUAGGCGGCCCUGCAAGUCCGGUGUGAAAGCCCUCGGCUUAACCGGGGAAGUGCAUCGGAAACUGCUUGGCUUGAGUACUGUAGAGGGAGGCGGAAUUCCCAGUGUAGAGGUGAAAUUCGUAGAUAUUGGGAGGAACACCGGUGGCGAAAGCGGCCUCCUGGACAGAUACUGACGCUGAGACGCGAAAGCGUGGGGAG